rnacentral:rRNA from 1 species
AUUGAACGCUGUCGGCAUGCCUUACACAUGCAAGUCGAACGGUAACGCGGGGCAACCUGGCGACGAGUGGCGAACGGGUGAGUAACGCAUCGGAACGUGCCCAGUAGUGGGGGAUAGCCCGGCGAAAGCCGGAUUAAUACCGCAUACGACCUACGGGUGAAAGGGGGGGAUCGCAAGACCUAUCGCUAUUGGAGCGGCCGAUGUCAGAUUAGGUAGUUGGUGGGGUAAAGGCCCACCAAGCCUUCGAUCUGUAGCUGGUCUGAGAGGACGACCAGCCACACUGGGACUGAGACACGGCCCAGACUCCUACGGGAGGCAGCAGUGGGGAAAAUUGGACAAUGGGCGCAAGCCUGAUCCAGCCAUGCCGCGUGCGGGAAGAAGGCCUUCGGGUUGUAAACCGCUUUUGUCGGGGAAGAAACGCUCUGGGCUAAUACCCCGGGGUAAUGACGGUACCUGAAGAAUAAGCACCGGCUAACUACGUGCCAGCCGCCGCCGUAAGAC